CCCUAUUAUUUUAGAAUGUUAAUUUUUUUUGUGCCUGAGUAGUAUUAGUUAUGUUCUUGAAACUUAAAGAAUUUGGCGGUAUCUCAUUCCGUCCAGAGGAAUCUGUCCCGUUAUCGAUAGUCCGCGUUGGACCUUACUUAUUUGAUUUAUGGUUUGUAUACCGCCGUUUAUUGAUUAUCUUUUUAGAGGUUGCGUUAAUUUUCUGGCUUCUUUAUUUUGAUGUAUUUCAGGUCAAGGUGCAGCUUGUUUUUAAGUGGAAUGAUGGAUUACAUUGUUAUUUGUUUAUGGAUUGUUGAUUUUAAUAUUGGUAUGAAAUUGGAUUUGGUUGUAAUGAUAUGUAGAUUGUUAUUAUGAUAAUUGGUUCUGAGAUAUGUACACAUCGCCCGUCGCUCUCGUUUUAUUAUAAUGAGAUAAGUC
rnacentral:rRNA from 1 species